AUUGAACGCUGGCGGCAUGCCUUACACAUGCAAGUCGAACGGCAGCAUAGGAGCUUGCUCCUGAUGGCGAGUGGCGAACGGGUGAGUAAUAUAUCGGAACGUGCCCUAGAGUGGGGGAUAACUAGUCGAAAGACUAGCUAAUACCGCAUACGAUCUACGGAUGAAAGUGGGGGAUCGCAAGACCUCAUGCUCCUGGAGCGGCCGAUAUCUGAUUAGCUAGUUGGAGGGGUAAAAGCUCACCAAGGCGACGAUCAGUAGCUGGUCUGAGAGGACGACCAGCCACACUGGGACUGAGACACGGCCCAGACUCCUACGGGAGGCAGCAGUGGGGAAUUUUGGACAAUGGGGGCAACCCUGAUCCAGCAAUGCCGCGUGAGUGAAGAAGGCCUUCGGGUUGUAAAGCUCUUUUGUCAGGGAAGAAACGGUUCUGGAUAAUACCUGGGACUAAUGACGGUACCUGAAGAAUAAGCACCGGCUAACUACGUGCCAGCAGCCGCAGUAA
rnacentral:rRNA from 1 species